rnacentral:rRNA from 1 species
GACGAACGCUGGCGGCGUGCCUAAUACAUGCAAGUUGAGCGCUGAAGGUUGGUACUUGUACCAACUGGAUGAGCAGCGAACGGGUGAGUAACGCGUGGGGAAUCUGCCUUUGAGCGGGGGACAACAUUUGGAAACGAAUGCUAAUACCGCAUAAAAACUUUAAACACAAGUUUUAAGUUUGAAAGAUGCAAUUGCAUCACUCAAAGAUGAUCCCCCGUUGUAUUAGCUAGUUGGUGAGGUAAAGGCUCACCAAGGCGAUGAUACAUAGCCGACCUGAGAGGGUGAUCGGCCCAAUUGGGACUGGGACACGGCCCAAACUCCUACGGGAGGCAGCAGUAGGGGAACUUCGGAAAUGGACGAAAGUCUGACCGAACAAAGCCGCGUGAGUGAAAAAAGUUUUCGGAUCGUAAAACUCUGUUGGUAGAGAAGAACGUUGGUGAGAGUGGAAAGCUCAUCAAGUGACGGUAACUACCCAGAAAGGAACGGCUAACUACGUG